GCCAGACUCCUACGGGAGGCAGCAGUGGGGAAUAUUGCACAAUGGGGGAAACCCUGAUGCAGCAACGCCGCGUGAGUGAGGAAGUAUUUCGGUAUGUAAAGCUCUCUCAGCAGGGAAUAGAAAAGAAGGUACCUGAAAAAGAAGCCCCGGCUAACUACGUGCCAGCCGCCGCGGUAAUGCGUAGGGGGCAAGCGUUAUCCGGAUUUACUGGGUGUAAAGGGAGCGUAGGCGGUGCAGCAAGUCAGAAGUGAAAGCCCGGGGCUCAACUCCGGGACUGCUUUUGAAACUGUUGAACUAGAUUGCAGGAGAGGUAAGUGGAAUUCCUAGUGUAGCGGUGAAAUGCGUAGAUAUUAGGAGGAACACCAGUGGCGAAGGCGGCUUGCUGGACAGAGACUGACGUUGAGGCUCGAAAGCGUGGGGAGCAAACAGGAUUAGAUACCCCGGUAUCU
rnacentral:rRNA from 1 species